rnacentral:rRNA from 1 species
GACGAACGCUGGCGGCGUGCCUAACACAUGCAAGUCGAGCGAAAGGACGAGGAGUUUGCUUCUCUGAUGUUAGCGGCGGAGGGGAGAGUAACAUGUGUAUAACCUACCUAUCAGACUGGGAUAAUUACGGGAAACCGUCGCUUAUACCGGAUAAUAUUUUGAACCGCAUGGUUCAAAAGUGAGAGUCGGUCUUUGUGUCAGUUAUAGCUGGAUCCGCGCUGAAUUAGCUAGUUGGGAAGGUAAUGGCUUACCAAGGCAAGGAGGCAUAGCCGACCUCAGAGGGUGAUCGCCCACCUUGGAAGUGAGACAGGGUCGAGACUCCUGCGGGAGGCCGCAGUCGGGAAUCUUACGCAAUGGGGGAGAGCCUGACAGAGCAACGGCGCGUGAGUGAUGAAGGUGUUCGGAGCGUAAAGCUCUGUUAUUAGUGGUGAACCUAUGUGUAAUUAACUGUGCAGAUCUUGACGGUACCGGGUCAAAAAGCCCCGGCUAACUACGUG